CGCAAGAUAGAAAUAAAAAAAAGUCCCGGGGGUGGAAAAUAGAUCUUCCAAGGGCCACUAAAGCGAUGGUGGCUCUUUUGCCUGAAUGUGAGAAUAGAGACAUUAUAAGGGCUCAAUCUUCUUCCAUAGAACAUGGCUGCCUGCUGCAUGGCACAGUACAUAGGUCCAGUGAAUCAGGACUGAACGCUGCGUGGAGGUGGGGCAGGUGGGGCAGGCGACAUGAGCCGGGCAGUGCUGGGAGCAGGGGUUGUCUUCACCUGCUUUGAGUGUGCUUUUCAAGGUGUUUGCUCACAGUGUUAAGGAAAGUAAUGACCACUGCCAUGCCCUGCAACAACACUGGGGACACAAGAAAAGAAGGCACCGUUUAGGGAGAGGAAAAUUCCUUCAUUUCUGAGCAUCUUAAGUAUGAGUCUUCUAGAGCAUCUUAUUUAUUUAUACCUUAUUUACCUUUCUCCAGGGAAGCUUGAAUGUGAGAUAAUAUAAACGCACAUACAAUAAAAUGAAAAGAAAAAACAGAAAAACCAAAGAUGUGUGGAGACAAAACUGGGACUAUCAGAAGCUAGGAAUUCAUAAGUUAGUGCAAAAAGCAUGUGCUGCGAUGUCCUCAGGUUUUCUAGAAGUUCACAAAAGUACUUCCACACCAGGGCCAUCUGACCAAGUCAGAGUCUAAAAUGGAAAAACCCACAGUGUCUGCCAGCUCUUCCUAACAAGCACAGGAGAGAGCGGUCCGCUAUGGUACUUCCCGAGGAGGGAGCUGUGACACAAUGAACCAGUGCUCUGCGAUACCCUUCCAUGACUAACGCGCCACAGUCUUCCCCAGCAGAGGCUCAUGGCUCAGAUCUGGGAAUUUUCUAAACAGAUGUGGAAACCGGAGACCCUUCCUACACUGUCACGUUCAUCACGAUCCCUCAGAGACACCGGGAGCAGCAAGUUCACAGUCACCUUGUCGAACUAACACCUGGACGAUGGCUGCUCUGAGUGCCAAGCCAGAAGCUGGUGAGGCUGGUGCUGCUUCAGGGUGUGGGAGCAUUGGGAUGGGCAGAGCCGAGGACAGAGCCUAGCCAUGCCCUGCGCCUCCUGGAAGGCUUCUGACAUUCUGCAGAGACGAUGGAGGGGAGAGGGAGACAUGGCUGUGGGUGAGGUGUGUGGGGAAGCUCUGCUGGGUAGGUGAUGAGCUGGGGGAACAUGUGGAUAAAGUGACUGAGGGGGAACCUUGGGGUACAUUGGGCAGCGUGAGCGCUGGGCAGGUGUGAGCACAAGCAAGACCUUCUGGUGAAGGAGGGUAAAUUCCACAGCUGACUGAAGCAAGGCGGCUCACACCUAGAAUGCCAGAUCUUGAAGGCCGAGGCAGGAGGUUUAUUUAUCAUCAGUUCAAGGCCAGCCUGAGCUACAGAGUUAGACCCCUGUCUCAUUCUCACCUUAUCUCUAAGGAAAAAAGGAGCAGAGUGUAUAUUAACUGCAGAUGCCUUUAAAUGCUCUUA
rnacentral:lncRNA from 1 species